rnacentral:rRNA from 1 species
UACGUAGGGUGCGAGGCGUUAAUCGGAAUUACUGGGCGUAAAGCGUGCGCAGGCGGUCUGUUAAGACAGAUGUGAAAUCCCCGGGCUAACCUGGGAACUGCAUUUGUGACUGGCAGGCUAGAGUAUGGCAGAGGGGGGUAGAAUUCCACGGUGUAGCAGUGAAAUGCGUAGAGAUGUGGAGGAAUACCGAUGGCGAAGGCAGCCCCCUGGGCCAAUAUGACGCUCAUGCACGAAAGCGUGGGGAGCAAACAGGG